rnacentral:misc_RNA from 1 species
GAAAUUCUUUAAUUUAUUUAAUUGAAGUUUUUUGUUAUCAAUUUUCAAAUAUGUUGGAUUGAAAUUUGUCAAUGUAGACAAUAAUAAAACAUAAUGCAACGUUAUUACAUUUGAUUAUGUUGAAUUACGAGGAUCGUGUUCAUGAUAAAUUUAAUAUAUAAACAUAUAGAAACCGUAGAUGCUUUUUAACAAUUUGCACAGAUUCCAAAUUUGAGUCCUCCCCUCCUUUCUAAACACAAAGAUAAAGAAUAAAUAAUGCCAUUACUAUAAGAAAGGUUUACCAACUGGUCAUUAAGAAACUUUGUUAAUAUAUAUAUAUUUUUUAUUGUGUAUUGAUGGUGUAUCUUUGCAUAUUAUCAGGCCUGAGUCUGAACUUAUCAAAGG